AUACGUAGGGAGCAAGCGUUGUCCGGAUUUACUGGGUGUAAAGGGUGCGUAGGCGGCUCUGCAAGUCAGGCGUGAAAACCAUGGGCUUAACCCAUUGGAUUGCGUUUGAAACUGUGGGGCUUGAGUGAAGUAGAGGUAGGCGGAAUUCCCGGUGUAGCGGUGAAAUGCGUAGAGAUCGGGAGGAACACCAGUGGCGAAGGCGGCUUACUGGGCUUUAACUGACGCUGAGGCACGAAAGCAUGGGUAGCAAACAGGAUUAGAUACCCUGGUAGUCCAUGCCGUAAACGAUGAUUACUAGGUGUGGGGGGUCUGACCCCUUCCGUGCCGGAGUUAACACAAUAAGUAAUCCACCUGGGGAGUACGGCCGCAAGGUUGAA
rnacentral:rRNA from 1 species